CCUACGGGAGGCAGCAGUGAGGAAUAUUGGUCAAUGGCCGGAAGGCUGAACCAGCCAUGCCGCGUGAAGGUCAGUGCCCUAUGGGCGUUAAACUUCUUUUGUGCGGGAGCAAUAAUGGUCACGUGUGGCCAGACGAGAGUACCGUACGAAUAAGCAUCGGCUAACUCCGUGCCAGCAGCCGCUGUAAUACGGGGGAUGCAAGCGUUAUCCGGAUUUAUUGGGGUUAAAGGGGGCCUAGGCUGUGCGGUAAGUCAGCGGUGAAAUGCCCCCGCUCAACGGGGUGAAGUGCCAUUGAUACUGCCUUGCUGGAAUGCGGAUGCGGUGGGAGGAAUGUGUGGUGUAGCGGUGAAAUGCAUAGAUAUCACACAGAACACCGAUUGCGAAGGCAUCUCACGAAUCCGCGAUUGACGCUGAUGCACGAAAGCGUGGGUAUCAAACAGGAUUAGAUACCCCAGUAGUC
rnacentral:rRNA from 1 species